AUUUGCCCUUGAGGUAAGCUAAUUGGCAGGAAUUUUGGGCCGAACGAAUGGUGAUUUGCAGCGGCAAUGUCAAGACUGAUCAUUCGGCGAUCUGGUAGGUGUCAGAAUGCUAGCAAUCUUGAUAUUGAAUUGAUAUAUUCAGGUUAUAUCAUCAUUGACGGAAACCGGAUUAUCCCUUGAGAGCGGCAACCCAACGCAUGCUCCUGGUUGGGUCGUUUCUCCGUUUCUUUACUUUUAUUUCUUCUUUCUGCUCCUCUUGCUUUUUCCGUUGGAUGCCAUUUCCGAGCCACUGAGGUCAGUCUACGGCGC
rnacentral:sRNA from 1 species